rnacentral:rRNA from 1 species
GACGAACGCUGGCGGCGUGCUUAACACAUGCAAGUCGAACGGAAAGGCCCUGCUUUUGUGGGGUGCUCGAGUGGCGAACGGGUGAGUAACACGUGAGUAACCUGCCCUUGACUUUGGGAUAACUUCAGGAAACUGGGGCUAAUACCGGAUAGGAGCUCCUGCUGCAUGGUGGGGGUUGGAAAGUUUCGGCGGUUGGGGAUGGACUCGCGGCUUAUCAGCUUGUUGGUGGGGUAGUGGCUUACCAAGGCUUUGACGGGUAGCCGGCCUGAGAGGGUGACCGGGCAAAUUGGGACUGAGAGACCGGCCCGAAUCCUACGGGAGGGAGCAGUGGGGAAUUUUGCAACAUGGGCGGAAGCCUGAUGCAGCAACGCCGCGUGCGGGAUGACGGCCUUCGGGUUGUAAACCGCUUUCGCCUGUGACGAAGCGUGAGUGACGGUAAUGGGUAAAGAAGCACCGGCUAACUACGUG